rnacentral:rRNA from 1 species
GAUGAACGCUAGCGGCAGGCCUAAUACAUGCAAGUCAAGGGGAUAGCAAUAUCACCGGCGGACGGGUGCGUAACGCGUACACAACGUGCCCAAGGGCGGAGGAAAGCGGCGGGAAACUGCCGGUAAUACUCCAUGGUGUUGUUGAGUGGCAUCACUUAACAACUAAAGUACAAGCGCCCUUGGAUCGGUGUGCGUUCGAUUAGCUAGUUGGCGGGGUAACGGCCCACCAAGGCUUCGAUCGAUAGGGGGUGUGAGAGCAUGACCCCCCCACACGGGUACGUGAGACACGGACCCGACUCCUACGGGAGGCAGCAGUAAGGAAUAUUGGACAAUGGGCGGGAAGCCUGAUCCAGCCAUGCCGCGUGAAGGACGAAGGCGCUCAGCGUUGUAAACUUACUUUUGGUAUGGGAACAAUAACUACCGACUUGUCGGAACUUGAGGGUACCAUCAGAAUAAGCACCGGCUAACUCCGUG